GUGGAGGUGGCUCAGUGGUAGAGUGCUUGCCUUGCAUGCAUGAGGCCGUGGGUUUGAAUCCUCAGCACCACA
rnacentral:tRNA from 1 species